AUGGGCAGGGGUUGGAGUUUAUACGAUUGGAGGGAAGAGAACAGUGAAUGGGUACACAAGUGGACAAAUGAAGCGCUAGCAGAUAUAGUGCGUGAACUUAGGCCGUACGAUGGAAGUACAGAUCAAGCAUACAAGCAGUGGUACUGCAUGAACACACGUGCUAGCCUGGCCAGUCAGCCAGCUACUAUACCAACACAUCUCACACAAGAGGAGCAGGCGCGGAGACAUGUUGAGCUGCAUGCAGCUUACUAUCGUGACCACCUGGUAAUCACUUGUAACUUUUUUAGGUCCAUCAUUUCAUAA
rnacentral:rRNA from 1 species